UGUUUUCAUUAAUCAAGAACGAAAGUUAGGGGAUCGAAGACGAUCAGAUACCGUCGUAGUCUUAACCAUAAACGAUGCCGACCAGCGAUUAGGAGACGUUGAAUACAAAACACCACCAUCGGUGCGGUCGUCCUUGGCGUCUCGGUCCUUCACGGGGCCGGGGCGCGGGGGUGGCUUAGCCCGGUGGCACCGGUGAAUGACUCCCUAGCAGCUUGUGA
rnacentral:rRNA from 1 species